rnacentral:rRNA from 1 species
GACGAACGCUGGCGGCGUGGAUUAGGCAUGCAAGUCGAACGGUAUAAACCUUUCGGGGUUUAGAGAGUGGCGAACGGGUGAGUAACACGUAGGUAAUCUACCCUCAAAACGGGGACAACCCAGGGAAACUUGGGCUAAUACCGGAUGCGUGCAAGCAAUGUUUUGGCUGUUAAUGCUAUUCACGGAAGUGAGUAGUGUUAAUGGUUGAGAGCAUUAUUUGCAUAAAAGGUGGCGUAAGCUGCCGUUUGAGGAUGAGCCUGCGUCCUAUUAGUUAGUUGGUGAGGUAACGGCUCACCUAGGCAAUGAUAGGUAGGCGGCCUUAACGGGGUGGUCGCCCACACUGGGAUUGAGAUACGGCCCAGACCUCCUACGGGGAGGCAGCAGUCGAGAAUAGUCUACAAUGGUCGGAAGACUGAUAGUGCGACGCCGCGUGAACGAUGAAUCCCUUCGGGGUGUAAAGUUCUUUUAUAUGUGAGCAGUGCUUCUAUAUUAACAGUAUGGGGAGAGAGAUAUU